rnacentral:rRNA from 1 species
GACGAACGCUGGCGGCGUGCCUAAUACAUGCAAGUCGAGCGGACAGACAGGACUUUGGUGGGCGGUGUGAGUGGCGGACGGGUGAGUAACACGUGGGUAACCUGCCCUUAAGACUGGGAUAACUUCGGGAAACCGGGGCUAAUACCGGAUAGGAGCUUUUGACGCAUGGUGGGGAGUGGAAAGAUUGGGUCGGCGGGGAAGUACUCGCGGGGUCUUGGCUUGUUAGUGGGGUAGUGGGGUACCAGGGCAACGAUGGGAAGCCGACCUGGUAGGGUGAUCGGCCACACUGGGACUGAGCCGCGGACCUGACUCCUGCGGGAGGCACCAGUCGGGAAUCUUCUGCAAUGGUCGAAAGUCUGACGGAGCAACGCCGCGUGAGUGACGAAGGUUUUCGGAUCGUAAAACUCUGUUUUUAGUGAAGAACAGGUUUCGGAUUAACUGACGGUACCUUGACGGUACCUAAUCAGAAAGCCCCGGCUAACUACGUG